rnacentral:rRNA from 1 species
GACGAACGCUGGCGGCGUGCCUAAUACAUGCAAGUAGAACGCUGAAGAGAGGAGCUUACUCUUCUUGGAUGAGUUGCGAACGGGUGAGUAACGCGUAGGUAACCUGCCUUGUAGCGGGGGAUAACUAUUGGAAACGAUAGCUAAUACCGCAUAACAAUGGAUGACACAUGUCAUUUAUUUGAAAGGGGCAAUUGCUCCACUACAAGAUGGACCUGCGUUGUAUUAGCUAGUAGGUGAGGUAAUGGCUCACCUAGGCGACGAUACAUAGCCGACCUGAGAGGGUGAUCGGCCACACUGGGACUGAGACACGGCCCAGACUCCUACGGGAGGCAGCAGUAGGGAAUCUUCGGCAAUGGGGGCAACCCUGACCGAGCAACGCCGCGUGAGUGAAGAAGGUUUUCGGAUCAUAAAGCUCUGUUGUAAGUCAAGAACGGGUGUGAGAGUGGAAAGUUCACACUGUGACGGUAGCUUACCAGAAAGGGACGGCUAACUACGUG